rnacentral:rRNA from 1 species
AGUGAACGCUGGCGGUAGGCCUAACACAUGCAAGUCGAACGGCAGCACAGUAAGAGCUUGCUCUUACGGGUGGCGAGUGGCGGACGGGUGAGGAAUACAUCGGAAUCUACUUUUUCGUGGGGGAUAACGUAGGGAAACUUACGCUAAUACCGCAUACGACCUACGGGUGAAAGCAGGGGAUCUUCGGACCUUGCGCGAUUGAAUGAGCCGAUGUCGGAUUAGCUAGUUGGCGGGGUAAGGCCCACCAAGGCGACGAACCUUAGCUGGGCUGAGAGGAUGAUCAGCCACACUGGAACUGAGACACGGUCCAGACUCCUACGGGAGGCAGCAGUGGGGAAUAUUGGACAAUGGGCGCAAGCCUGAUCCAGCCAUACCGCGUGAGUGAAGAAGGCCUUCGGGUUGUAAAGCCCUUUUUUUGGGAAAGAAAAGCAGCAGGUUAAUACCCCGCUGUUCUGACGGUACCCAAAGAAUAAGCACCGGCUAACUUCGUG